rnacentral:rRNA from 1 species
AGAGUUUGAUCAUGGCUCAGAUUGAACCUGGCGGCAUGCCUUACACAUGCAAGUCGAACGGCAGNNNNNGGAACCUGGCGGCGAGUGGCGAACGGGUGAGUAAUAUAUCGGAACGUGCCCUGGAGUGGGGGAUAACGCAGCGAAAGUUGCGCUAAUACCGCAUACGAUCUAAGGAUGAAAGCAGGGGACCGCAAGGCCUUGUGCUCCUGGAGCGGCCGAUAUCUGAUUAGCUAGUUGGUGGGGUAAAGGCCUACCAAGGCAUCGAUCAGUAGCUGGUCUGAGAGGACGACCAGCCACACUGGAACUGAGACACGGUCCAGACUCCUACGGGAGGCAGCAGUGGGGAAUUUUGGACAAUGGGCGAAAGCCUGAUCCAGCAAUGCCGCGUGAGUGAAGAAGGCCUUCGGGUUGUAAAGCUCUUUUGUCAGGGAAGAAACGGUGUGGGCUAAUAUCCCGCACUAAUGACGGUACCUGAAGAAUAAGCACCGGCUAACUACGUGCCAGCAGCCGCGGUAAUACGUAGGGUGCAAGCGUUAAUCGGAAUUACUGGGCGUAAAGCGUGCGCAGGCGGUUUUGUAAGUUUGUCGUGAAAGCCCCGGGCUCAACCUGGGAAUUGCGAUGAAGACUGCAAGGCUUGAAUCUGGCAGAGGGGGGUAGAAUUCCACGUGUAGCAGUGAAAUGCGUAGAGAUGUGGAGGAACACCGAUGGCGAAGGCAGCCCCCUGGGUCAAGAUUGACGCUCAUGCACGAAAGCGUGGGGAGCAAACAGGAUUAGAUACCCUAGUAGUCC